CCUCCUAUACACAUUCUGACCGGAGACCAAACCUGCAACCUAGGUAGUUAUGUGCCCUGAUUGGGAAUUGUACCCGCCACCUUCCGGUGUACGAGGCCACAUUCCAACCAACUGAGCCACACCAGCCAGGGCAGUUUGUUUAAUUUUUAAUUUGAUUCUCCACUCCUGCCAUUCAAGAAUGCAUGUCCUUUGUAGAAAAUUGGGAAAAUAUAAAAAAGUAUGACAGGCAGAAAAGAUCAUCCAUGGGAUAAGUAGUUAAGUCUUUUCAUAGAUUAGCAUCUGGUAUCUGUUUGAUUCUGAGCUCUGCUGCUUACUACAUCCAUGUGACCCAAGACCAGUUACCUACCUUCUCUGCUCUUGUCUGCAUAACUGACAUUUGCAUCUAGUAGCUUUGUCUGAGGAUAAAAUGAGCAAAUACUUCUAGAACAUAGUAGGACUUAUGAAAUGAUAGACAUUAGUCUCAAUUAUGUGGUAACCAUUAUGAUUGGGAGUUGUGACUGUUACUGUCAGCCCAGCACCCCCACUGGAAGUCCUCUUCGGGCCGACAACACAGGAACUGCUCCCGCUGAACUGCAGGUGUUGGUAAUGAUGCUCUGGGUUUGAACAAGCUCCCAGUGGAAGGUGGACAGGUAUGGUUGGGUCCCCAAGUACUGUUGGUCAACCUCAGGACAUAUUGAUCCUGGAAUCCGUUUCCAUCUCCUCAUUCUCACUAACUGCUAUGCAUCACUGUCCGUCUCUGCCAAUUCUUUCUGGUUUGCCUUUCAGUCCCCACCUCUGGCCUUCUCUUCCCCUCCCUGGUUUUUUUUCUUCAUGUUGUUGUUUUUUAUUAUUGAUUUUAGAGAAAGAGAGAGAGAAGCAUCAGCGUGAGAGAGAAACAUCAAUCAGUUGCCUCUGGUAUGCACCCUGAUCAGGGUAGGAACCAGCAACCUGGGCAUAUGCCCUGACCAGGAAUCCAGCCAGCAACCUUUUAGUGCACAGGAUGACCAACUGAGCCACUCUGGCCAAGGCCCUCCCUGGUCUUUUAACUUUGUUGCUUCUCUGGCUCCCUGUUGCUUCUCUUGACUCUUGCUCCCCCAAAAAAGCUAAUGAUGAAAGUGAGAGGCCUCAUACAUUUUAUCUUACUAGUAUUUUUCAUUAUAAAAAUACGUGGUGCAGUCUGUAUAUACAUAGUGUCCCAAAAACAUGUACACACACUUUAACAGCUGAUAGCUCAAUUGAUGUUUCUUUCUUUUCAACCAGACUGAUCUUUGAACAAAGGAAAUUCAUCCCAAAAUGCUGCUGGAAGUUUGAAAACACAGUUGAAGUUCAACUGAUUUGAAAUAAUGGAUGAAGCCAGACUAAGCUUUGAACAAAGAAAAUUUAUGCAGUAGAUUUUUUUAUGCUGGCAACAGUUGACGAAUUGAGGGCACACGAAUACCAAACGAAAUGAUUCUUGAUGUUUUCGAUUUCAUUGCUUCACAUUAUCAGCAGGGCCUGGACCAGGACGCUCAUCAGUUUGAAAAUGGGCAUGGACCAAGAAAUAGUUAUUCAUUUCUGUUGAUUCUUAUAAAUUUUGAAAAUGAACUGUAUGGUAAUAAACACUGACUUUAUAAUCA